GCGCUCGUAGCUCAGCUGGAUAGAGUACCUGGCUACGAACCAGGCGGUCAGAGGUUCGAAUCCUCUCGAGCGCACCA
rnacentral:tRNA from 1 species